CUCAAUUUGCUUUCUUAGCUUGAAUGAAAAAGCAUGCAUCUGAAAUGGUAGAUCCACAUUAGGGCUACAAACUGUGGCCCUGAACCAGAAAGAAGAUAACUGUUUACCCAAGGCUCCCACUGGUGUUUUUAGUCUCAAUUAACAUUGUACCUAAUCAGCCAAGGUAGGUCAUACCAUCCAACAAGAUGACCAGCCUGAUGCAUUGAUGAGCAUACUGAAACAAAAAUGUCUCCUUUUUCUGACAAACCAAACUUCAGUCAUCUUUUGCCAUCUGGCGGUAUAGCAACCUGCUGGUAUCCCUGCCACUGAGAUUUCACUCUCUUUCCAGAUCCUUCCUGGGCAUCAGUAAAUAGGGGAACGUUUUUAUGUGAUGAGUGCUGCAGUGUCCAUCGGAGUCUAGGGCGCCAUAUCUCCCAAGUGAGGCAUCUGAAACACACACCGUGGCCUCCAACACUGCUUCAGAUGGUUGAGACCUUGUAUAAUAACGGUGCUAACUCUAUAUGGGAGCAUUCUUUGCUGGACCCUGCGUCUAUUAUGAGUGGAAGACGUAAAGCUAAUCCACAGGAUAAAGUACAUCCCAAUAAAGCGGAAUUCAUCAGAGCCAAGUAUCAGAUGUUAGCGUUCGUCCAUCGCUUGCCCUGCCGGGAUGACGAUAGUGUGACUGCCAAAGAUCUUAGCAAGCAACUCCAUUCGAGCGUGAGAACAGGGAAUCUUGAAACCUGUUUGAGACUGUUAUCUUUAGGAGCACAAGCCAACUUCUUUCAUCCU
rnacentral:lncRNA from 10 species